rnacentral:rRNA from 1 species
CCUACGGGGGGCAGCAGUGAGGAAUAUUGGACAAUGGGCGAGAGCCUGAACCAGCCAAGUCGCGUGAGGGAGUACUGCCCUAUGGGUUGUAAACCUCUUUUGUCGGGGAGCAAAAGCCGGACGUGUCCGGCUGUGAGAGUACCCGCAGCAAAAGCAUCGGCUAACUCCGUGCCAGCAGCCGCGGUAAUACGGAGGAUGCGAUGGUUAUCCGGAUUUUUUGGGUUUAAGGGGUGCGCAGGCGGAUUUUUACGUCGGAGGUAAAAUCGUGGGGAUAAACCCCAUCCAGCCGUUGAAACUGGGGAUCUAGAGUGUGCGAGAGGUAUGCGGAAUGCGUGGUGUAGCGGUGAAAUGCAUAGAUAUAACGCAGAACACCGAUUGCGAAGGCAGCAUACCGGUGCAUAACUGACGCUCAGGCACGAAAGCGUGGGUAUCGAACAGGAUUAGAUACCCUUGUAGUC